UUAUGAAUCAUUUUUCAGCCAGUGUAAUCUAUCACAAGACAACAAUAAUAGAAAUAAUAAUACUCAGUGCAGUACAUAUAAUAAAUACAAACCUGGAACCAAAAAAACAACAGGAGCAAUAGCUAAAAUAUAGAACCAGAGGAUUAGACUGAAGACCAAUACAUGUACUCAGAAGUUCAGAACUCCAUUAUGCAGAAUUCUCUUAGUAUAUCAACAGUAAACUUAUAUGAGUAAUGAGCCUUUAGAGAUACUUGCUUGAUCUAAGUCCACCAUGAAAAGAAACCUGGAUUUUUAAUAAUCUAGUUUGAUAGCAUGAAUUGUAUUUGUAUAUACAAUUAUAAUAACAGCAACUAACUUUACGAUUAAAUGUUGUAAGAAAACAACUUUAUAUUAAAUACAAAAAUUAUAGUAAACCUACCACUUGACAUCUUGCUUUUACGAUAUAUUGAUCAGAAGUAAUACAAUGUCUGCAUAAUGUCAUAGCAGAAAGUAAGAGUUCAUCAAUACAUUUAUACAACACAGUCACAGAGUCAACCACCUGAAAAGGAAAUUAACAAUGCUACUUAUUAUGUUGAUUGUACAUUACUUACUAUCUGUAUCCAAUAGAAUAUUAGAUUAGUAUUUUAGUAUGAAAAUAUAGAAAAUAAAUGUUUUUAUUUAUA